CAAACGGGAUUAGAUACCCCCGGUAGUCCACGCCGUAAACUAUGGAUGCUAGCUGUUAGAGGUAUCGACCCCUCUAGUAGCGAAGCUAACGCGUUAAGCAUCCCGCCUGUGGAGUACGGUCGCAAGACUAAAACAUAAAGGAAUUGACCGGGGACCCGCACAAGCGGUGGAGCGUGUUGUUUAAUUCGAUGGUAAGCGAAGAACCUUACCCAGGUUUGACAUCCUUGGAAUUUCUGCGAAAGCAGAGAGUGCUUUAUUGAGCCAAGUGACAGGUGAUGCAUGGCCGUCGUCAGCUCGUGUCGCGAGAUGUUUGGUUAAGUCCAUCAACGAGCGCAACCCUUAUUGUCUGUUGUAUUUUUCAGGCAAGACUGCCCUGGUAACAGGGAGGAAGGGGGGGAUGAUGUCAGGUCAGUAUUUCCCUUACAUCUGGGGCUACAAACACGCUACAAUGGCCGGUACAAAGGGCGGCCAAAGCGCAAGCUGGAGCAAAUCCCAUCAAAGCCGGUCCAAGUUCGGAUAGCAGGCUGAAACUCGCCUGCUUGAAGCUGGAAUCGCUAGUAACGGUAGGUCAGAACACUACCGUGAAUACGUUCCCGGGUCUUGUACACACCGCCCGUCAAACCAUGAAAGUCGCCAAUACCUGACGUCUGUACUAGCUACGGCCUAAGGUAGGGGAGAUGAUUGGGGUUAAGUCGUAANCAAGGUACC
rnacentral:rRNA from 1 species